UGCCUUGUAGCCUGGUGGUUUGAGUUACACACGCUCAAUCCUAAAGGUUAUGGGUUCGAGGCCAAAGAGAAGGAAAAGGAAACCAUAUAUACUUCGAAAAGAGGUAUUCUAAAAUACCUUUUUGCCGGCCCCCAAAACACAUCUUGCAACCAGCCAGUCCACCAUGUGCUUGCAGACUGAAAAUGAUAGUACUGAGGAAGCAAGAUUACCAUGUAGUCUAUCAAGGAAUCUGAUGAGAUUAACUCUUUGCCAAUUCAACCGCAGCUGUUACCGUAAUAAGUGUCAGAUUUUAUGUUCUUCGUAAUCAUAGGAUUAGUUUGAAAUAUUGCUAUUAAUUUUGAUUGUAAUUAUCUUUCUGUUACACAUAUUUGAACUCCUGCAAUUAAGGUUCCUAGACUGUAUAAAUG
rnacentral:lncRNA from 1 species